AUUGAACGCUGGCGGCAGGCCUAACACAUGCAAGUCGAACGAGUGGCGGACGGGUGAGUAAUGUCUGGGAAACUGCCCGAUGGAGGGGGAUAACUACUGGAAACGGUAGCUAAUACCGCAUACCAUCGGAUGUGCCCAGAUGGGAUUAGCGAGUCGGUGGGGUAACGGCUCACCUAGGCGAGGAUACCUAGCGGGUCUGAGAGGAUGACAAGCCACACUGGAACUGAGACACGGUCCAGACUCCUACGGGAGGCAGCAGUGGGGAAUAUUGCACAAUGGGCGCAAGCCUGAUGCAGCCAUGCCGCGUGUAUGAAGAAGGCCUUCGGGUUGUAAAGUACUUUCAGCGAGGAGGCGUUACUCGCAGAAGAAGCACCGGCUAACUCCGUGCCAGCAGCCGCGGUAAUAC
rnacentral:rRNA from 1 species